rnacentral:rRNA from 1 species
UGCCAGCCGCCGCGGUAAUACGGAGGGUGCGAGCGUUAAUCGGAAUUACUGGGCGUAAAGCGUGCGUAGGUGGCUUGGUAAGUCGGAUGUGAAAGCCCUGGGCUCAACCUGGGAACUGCAUUCGAUACUGCCUGGCUAGAGUAUGGUAGAGGGAAGUGGAAUUCCGGGUGUAGCGGUGAAAUGCGUAGAUAUCCGGAGGAACACCAGUGGCGAAGGCGACUUCCUGGACUAAUACUGACACUGAGGUACGAAAGCGUGGGGAGCAAACAGGAUUAGAUA